rnacentral:rRNA from 1 species
UACGGAGGGUGCGAGCGUUAAUCGGAAUUACUGGGCGUAAAGGGUGUGUAGGUUGUUUUAUAAGUUAACUGUGAAAUACCCGAGCUUAACUUGGGGGGUGCAGUUAAGACUGUGAGACUAGAGUAUGGGAGAGGGUAGUGGAAUUUCCGGUGUAGCGGUGAAAUGCGUAGAUAUCGGGAGGAACACCAGUGGCGAAGGCGGCUACCUGGCCUAAUACUGACACUGAGGCACGAAAGCGUGGGGAGCAAAC